AUUAAUCCUGAUUGAUGCUGCAAAAGGAUUACCUUCGAAUUGAUGAGAUAACAGAGCACCUGCAGCCUAAUCUACUAACCUCAUCAUUCUGUUUGUGGCCGUCACAAUAGAAAGACAAACAUGUUCAACGUUACCGGUGUCAUGCUCCUGCUUGCUUUGUUUGCUACAGCCACUUGUUCCGCGCAGGUGGAGCAUCCAAUCGAUAAACGAAAUUUUAUAGUCUGUCAAGGGCUGUGGCAAAAUUGUCAAUACAACCGAUGUUGCAGCUACUUCUACUGCGACUCUUAUUCUGGAGUUUGUGUUUUUUAAAGAAAUGUUUGGAACACCAAGCUUCUUCCGUUUCAUCGUGUUCAUUUCAAAUGAGAUCUAGUUUUAAUCAAG